UGGAGCCUGCGGUUUAAUCGGACUCAACGCCGGGAAACUCACCAGAUAAGACAGCUGAAUGAUAGUCGGGCUGAAGACUCUACUUGACUAGCUGAGAGGAGGUGCAUGGCCGUCGUCAGUUCGUACUGUGAAGCAUCCUGUUAAGUCAGGCAACGAGCGAGACCCACGCCAACAGUUGCCAGCAUGUCCUCCGGGAUGAUGGGGACACUGUUGGGACCGCCUCUGCUAAAGAGGAGGAAGGAAUGGGCAACGGUAGGUCAGCAUGCCCCGAAUUAUCCGGGCUACACGCGGGCUACAAUGGUCAGGACAAUGGGUAUCAACACCGAAAGGUGAAGGCAAUCUCCUAAACCUGUCCUUAGUUCGGAUUGUGGGCUGCAACUCGCCCACAUGAAGCUGGAAUCUGUAGUAAUCGCGUCUCAACAUGGCGCGGUGAAUAUGUCCCUGCUCCUU
rnacentral:rRNA from 1 species